rnacentral:rRNA from 1 species
CCAAUAGCGUAUAUUAAAGUUGUUGCAGUUAAAAAGCUCGUAGUUGAAUUUCGGAACCAAUAUGUUGGUUGUGCCUCGGUACGUACUGGCAUUGUUGGUUUCUCCCUUCUGACGAACUAUGAUGUCAUUAAUUUGGUGUCAUGGGGAAUCAGGACUGUUACUUUGAAAAAAUUAGAGUGUUUAAAGCAGGCUCACGCUUGAAUACAUUAGCAUGGAAUAAUGAAAUAGGACGUUUGAUUCUAUUUUGUUGGUUUCUAGGAUUGACGUAAUGAUUAAUAGGGAUAGUUGGGGGCAUUAGUAUUCAAUUGUCAGAGGUGAAAUUCUUGGAUUUAUUGAAGACUAACUACUGCGAAAGCAUUUGCCAAGGAUGUUUUCAUUAAUCAAGAACGAAAGUUAGGGGAUCGAAGACGAUCAGAUACCGUCGUAGUCUUAACCAUAAACUAUGCCGACUAGGGAUCGGAUGAUGUUAAUUUUUUAAUGACUCAUUCGGCGCCUUACG